GACGAAGGAUGCAAGCGUUAUCCGGAUUCAUUGGGUUUAAAGGGAGCGUAGGUGGCCUUAUAAGUCAGUGGUGAAAUCUCGCAGCUUAACUGUGAAAUUGCCAUUGAUACUGUAGGCUUGAGUACAGAUGCCGUUGGCGGAAUAUGACAUGUAGUGGUGAAAUACAUAGAGAUGUCAUAGAACACCGAUUGCGAAGGCAGCUGACGAAACUGUAACUGACACUGAGGCUCGAAAGUGCGGGGAUCAA
rnacentral:rRNA from 1 species